UGGCCCUGUGGACUACUGCGAGCCUAACAGUUACGGUAGAGUCCCUGCCCCGGGAACGUGGUUCGAUGGAUGGCCCCCACGGUAAUCCUCACCCUCGCCAAAAAAAGAGCCAAGGGGAGGAGGAGGGUUUAACAGUUUACACGUCGGAUCAUCCCUCGUUAUUGUUGCGUUUAUGAUAAUAGCAGCCGAGCGGCACGAACCGGCUGACCGCUUCAACCCCAUCCAGAGGGUCGCAAUCGUUACCAUGCUCAGGUAUGCUGUUGAAAGUGUAGAAAAAACGAUGGAUCCUAUCUUGAAAUUAGCGAGAGGUACAAUCUCGAUCUCUACAAUGUUUCAUCACCGAUACCGUUCUCCACGCCAGAAAUAAAAAGAGAAUCUAUGUAUGGAUGGUGAUUUAAUUGGAAAGUCGCGGUCGCCCAGAAAAAAAAUGAUUUUUCGAUGUUAAAAUGGCGGACAAUUAAUUACAAAAUGAAAGCUCCGCCUGCCUCGUCGCGAA